CAGGUCUUGACAUCCUUGGACAAUCCUAGAGAUAGGACUUUCCCUUCGGGGACCAAGUGACAGGUGGUGCAUGGUUGUCGUCAGCUCGUGUCGUGAGAUGUUGGGUUAAGUCCCGCAACGAGCGCAACCCCUAAUCUUAGUUGCCAGCAUUCAGUUGGGCACUCUAAGGUGACUGCCGGUGACAAACCGGAGGAAGGCGGGGAUGACGUCAAAUCAUCAUGCCCCUUAUGACCUGGGCUACACACGUGCUACAAUGGAUGGUACAAAGGGCAGCGAAGCCGCGAGGUGUAGCAAAUCCCAUAAAACCAUUCUCAGUUCGGAUUGCAGGCUGCAACUCGCCUGCAUGAAGCCGGAAUCGCUAGUAAUCGCGGAUCAGCAUGCCGCGGUGAAUACGUUCCC
rnacentral:rRNA from 1 species